GAUGAACGCUGGCGGCGUGCCUAACACAUGCAAGUCGAGCGAUCUUCUUCGGAAGAGAGCGGCGGACGGGUGAGUAACGCGUGGGUAACCUGCCCUGUACACACGGAUAACAUACCGAAAGGUAUGCUAAUACGAGAUAAUAUGCUCUUAUCGCAUGGUAGAAGUAUCAAAGCUCAGGCGGUACAGGAUGGACCCGCGUCUGAUUAGCUAGUUGGUAAGGUAAUGGCUUACCAAGGCGACGAUCAGUAGCCGACCUGAGAGGGUGAUCGGGCACAUUGGAACUGAGACACGGUCCAAACUCCUACGGGAGGCAGCAGUGGGGAAUAUUGCACAAUGGGCGAAAGCCUGAUGCAGCAACGCCGCGUGAGCGAUGAAGGCCUUCGGGUCGUAAAGCUCUGUCCUCAAGGAAGAUAAUGACGGUACUUGAGGAGGAAGCCCCGGCUAACUACGUGCCAGCCGCCGCGGUAA
rnacentral:rRNA from 1 species